ACUCACAAAGAUCAAAAUGGAUCAGAGCUAAAGUGAGGUUUUAAGUGUGCAGUAACAUUGCAGCUCGGUUUUAUGGGGUGAAUCUUUCAGAAGUAAUAUAUCACAGAGUCACAUUAACCACAGUCUCUAAUACAGGUUCAACACUAAGUUUAAAACUGUCAAAGGCGGGCCUCUAAACUGAUGUAUUUGUUUACACGCCAACUUUGCUCACUCCCUUUUUCUGAUAUUUUUAAAUUACUAUAAUUUUACGAUGCCACCAAGAAAUCUUCAGUUUUGUGCCACAUACACAGGACAGAAUAAAAAAUUCUUAGGGGUUGCCAACUUCACAGAACCUGGGAGCAGAAUUGAGUGAACUGAGGCAUUAAUAGAAGUAAAGGCAUGGAAGAAACAUCAGAUAUUUCUUAGUCAGUUAAGUCAUAGCUCUCAGAUCACCACACAAACCCCAUGUUGAGCACUAGUUCUACCGCAGAACCUGGAACUUUUGUUGGUUACCAAGGAUGCCUUCUGUGAUAAAAACAAGAAAGUCCACAGGAUUUCAAUUUGCUUCAGGUUUCAGGAAGAAUCUACGUGGAGAACAAGAGCCAAAGUUGGAGAAAACCUCAAACCACAGCCACUUACUUGUCCACCUGAACUGAUGGCUCAGGGCACAGAGGAGUGGACCAGCUAGUUCAUGGAGGAGUUGAGGUCUUGGCACUGCUGUGUGAUUAGAGUCCAUUCCUGGGUGUGGGGAUGCACUGGUACUUGAACACAGGUCCACAAAGGCUUUUCAUUCAGCAGGAGCACAGGCUCUCAGUUUUGGGGCUACAGUUAGCUGAGAGUGACACAGUUGAGUACUGCUGGAUUAGUCCAUCUAUCUGUGGCAUGGCUUCGGUGAGCUCUACCUUACAGGCUCGACCACAGAUUCCCAUAACUGCCUCUGUUGACGCUCCUCUGUGGCAGAUUCUCAUUUGCUCACUGUCAUUCCUGAGCUAGGAUCAGCCCCCCAAAUAAGCAAGCUAGCAAGAUUUUUACAGGGAUAAAUUCUGGUAAGUUAGGUAAAGUUAGGCAUUGGCAAAAAUGUGGAGAUCCCAGGAAUCUUCUGACUUCUACCAAAAAGCCUGAGCUAACUUUCCAACUCUUUUCCAAAGCAAAAGAGUCCCAUCCACUUCAGCGACUCCCCUGGAACAGGUGCACACAAAGGUCACUGGAUUCAGGGCAACAGACCAAGAGUUAGUUCAGCAUAAGAAAUCAGGCUCUGGAGAGCAAGGUCGUACUCCAUUGCUGAAGGAAGUCAGAGCAGCAAUUCAUGGCAGAAACCUGGAAGUCAUAAAUGAAGCCAUGAUGAAGCCACAAUCAUGGAGAAGUGCUGCUUACUGGUUUGCUCAUCCUGCUGCCUACUUGCUUAUAGCACCCAGAAUUACCAGAUUAGGAAUAGCAACUUCUCUCAGUGAGCGGGAACUUCCAUAUAAAUAAUCGAAACAAUGCCCCACAGGCUUGCCCACAGGUUAAUCUGGUGAGGACAUUUUCUCAAUUGCAGUUCCCACCUCUCGAAUGACUCUGGCUUUCAUCAAGUUGACAUAUAAAUGCAUUACUAUUCAUCUCCAUUUUUCAUAUUCCUCUUUCAUUUAGCUCCAAGACCUCAUAUUAAUAUUAAUAUCAAAAUAAUAUUAAACAUUAUUAAAAAUAAAAAUUCCAACUUUUAAAAGUCAUGCAGUCUUUAAAAAUCUAAACACUUUAAAAGUCCAGGCUCUUUAAAAUAUCCAAAGUCCCCUUCAAAGUUCAAAUUUUCUCUAAAAUAUUCAGUCUCUCUCAAUCUAUCUGAUGUCUUUCUAGAAUACCCAGUCUCUUUAAAAAUUCAGUCUCUUAACUGUGGACUCAUGUAAAAUCAAAAAUAAAGCUACAUAAUGUCUUACUCCAUGAGGGAAAAAGCACUGUCACAUCCACAUCAAAUACUGAGUCCAGUGGCUAUAGAGCUCAGUGCCAAACCCUGUGAUUCAUUCACAUACUUCUGGACUCUGAAGGGCCUGGUCACUUUUCUGGCUCUACCCUUCGCAGCACACACAGCUUGUCUCCUAGGGUCAGGCCAGCUCUACUUCAUAGCUGCUGCAGACCUUGGUUUUUGGUGGUUGUCCCGUGUACUGGCUUCUCCAAUUUUUUGGAGUCUUCAGUGGAGAUAUGCUUCAUCUUCAAUAAUAGCCUCUCCUGGGUUCUCUUUGGGAACUAUAAUCCUGAAACAUAGUUCUAACCAAAGCUCAGUCUUUUAUUUCCAUAUCAAUUCAAUCAUUUACCCAGGUUUCUUUUUUUAUUAUCCCACAAAUCAGCAUUUUAUGAUUUUAGGCCCUUGAUUCUUAGAAAAAGACAAGUACACUUUUAGUAUAGCAAAUGAACUCAGAGAUCUGUCUGCCUUUGUAAGCACAAACAAUAAGUUUAGCUGGAUAGGAUCUUACCCUGAAUCACUACUCCCUAAAUCUCUUUAUCUCCUUCCUUAAUAUCUUUCUGACAAGCUGACUCAUUAGUGUAGCUGCCUCUGCUGUGUUUUUAGAUUCGUGAAGCCCCUCAAACAAUUCACACUGCAAUCUUAUAUUUUGCAUAGUUGAGAAAUCCUGUAAAGGACAGCUCUUAGAUUGAUCUAUGUAUUUUUGAACUCAUGUUUUCAGAAUUAUUUCCUACAGCCUUUAGGGCUGUUCUGAAGGUGGUCAGAGCAUUACCAUUUUGCUGACAACAUUAGAUACAUUCUCAGAAUCAGGCUGUUCCAAAUUAUCAUGGAAUCAUUAACAUUAGCAGGGAGAAUAUUUCCUAGAGGAGAAACAUGAAGUAGAUAUAUAUAUAUCUAUAUCUAUAUAUAUAGAUAUAGAUAUAGAUGUAGAUGUAGAUGUAGAUGUAGAUGUAGAUGUAGAUGUAGAUGUAGAUGUAGAUAUAGAUAUAGAUAUAGAUAUAGAUAUAGAUAUAGAUAUAGAUAGAUAUACACAUUAUAAUGCAAAGAAGCCUUACACCUAUAGCAACCAUCAGCACUUGUGGGGGCCCAUGUCUUGCUGGCUCUGCUCCAGGGGCAGGAAUUGUGUCACACCAUCCCUUCCAUGGUGUACAGGACAUGGCAAGAUUUCACUGCAAUGAUGCUCUUCACCACAUAUAAUUUUUCAUACCCAGCUAACCAGCACCACAGAUUCGUAAAACAAUAUAUCAUACCUGCCCAGGAAUGCACUAUCCACAGUGAACCGGACCCUCCAAUAUGUAUCAUUAAUCAAGAAAAUGCCAAUAAACUUACAGGAUAACUAAGACAGACUUGGGUAGAAUUGUUUCCUUGGUCUGCCAUCAGCAUCCAAUCUAGGGUAAAUAAAUGUUUGUUCAGAUGUCCCCAAGAAAAGUCAACAGCAUAAGACAUAUAACUUAUGUAAGAAUUUAUAAAUAUUCUUGAUGAGCAAGAGAAUUUGAAAGCAAUGGGUCCUGUGCACAUCAUAAAUUUCUAAGCAUAUAAACUGUAGUGACUUAAAUAGGCAUUGGUGAUACAUAUUAUAUGAAGGGACAGGUAUUCAGCACAAGACAACCAAAGACCAAGUUCUUGGCACAAAGGAGAUGUAUUUGCCUCAGAGGGACAAAGGUCAAGGAAUAAGAGACAAAGAUAAAAGAUAGAGGAUGAGGGAGAAGGGAAUGGAAACAAGGGAGGGGGAAGGGAUAUUUGUCCCAGAGGGACAAAGGUCUGCCUCUAAAUAGAGAGGAGAUAGACACGGCCCAUAGGCAAAUGAUAGUUUAUAAGGGUAAAAGGUGAAACUCCGUGUUAGGAUGAGGUGUUUAAUUUUUAAUUGAGUAGAUUAAUUAAAGCAGUCAAAGGAGGCUUUUGAUUGCUGGAGUUUCAAUCUGGGAUAGCUGGACCUUGGUAUUCAGCCUAAGGAGGAGGAAGUGGCCAAAUAAGGGAAUAGACCUUGAUGGCUAGCUUUAGGAAUGCAAUCUAAGGGUUUUUAGCAAGGCAGAUGGAAUGGAAGAGAAGGGCAAGGCCUGACAGAGCCAUGCUUGGCCUGGACAGAGUCCCCUCACGAUGCAUUUUACAUCUCAUAACUGCAAGUUUUUAACGUUGAACAAAAAAGAUAAUUAGGGUAGAAGAAAUCUGAAUUGAUGUUAUGUUGAGUGAGUGUGUUACCUCAAAUUAGCUAUUAGAACAGAGAAAAUUACCUUAAUGUUUUCUUGCUAUUAACAUUAAUUUAACAUUCCUUAGAGUUCUUUCUCAGUUUCUUUGGCAUCAGGAGAUGCCAAGCUGUACAAUAAUGGAUUUACUUGUAAAAAUACUGAAUUUUUAGUACACGCAUUGCUUAAGGAACAUAAAUGAGUUGAAGCACCCCUGUGACACAUUUUGACAUCCCAUAGAAGAUCAAGCGUAAAGACUGUACAAAUCCGAGCAGGGAAAACCAGGCAUCUUUGCCCUGAUCAGGCCAUAUCACUUGCCCUUGUUCUGUAUCCUGGACAUGGCUGUUUCCAUGGGAAAGCCAGAGUCCAUUAUUCCUCCGUAGUACCUCAUCUGUGUCCUUUCCUUCUAUAGAGUGAACUCAGAGGUGCUUUCCACGAUGUAGAAGUGUGAGGGUGCCCCAAAGGACGUACUUGUGAGUCCACUGUCUUUAAAUGGAAUAGUGCAUUCUACCAGAACAGGUACACCUACAGGACACACACACACACACACACACACACACAGAGAGAGAGAGAGAGAGAGAGAGAGAGAGAGAGAGAGAGCACCGGAUAGUUUAUUAGAAAAACUUGGGAAGAAUGGGUAGGAAGCUGGCAGUUUUUAGCAUAGCUGUGACAGCAGCUUUUGCAAGUGAGAAGAAAUGCAUGCAGCAUUCAUCACAUGGUCACAGUUUUAUUUUCUCCAGUUUCAGUUACUUCUUGUCAACCACAGUCAAAAUGGAAAGAUUCAGAAAUAAAUAAUUUUUAAGUUCUAAAAAGUGCAUCAUUCUGAAUACUAUGAUGACAUUUCACACCAUCUGGGUCUAUUCUGUCCUGCUCUAGACACGCAUCAUCUUUUAUCCAGUGUAUCCAUGCUGAAGGUGCUAGCUGCCCAUCAACUGUGUGGCAGGUACCUCAGCUAUCAGACCCACUCUAGUGAUACCACAGUAUUUACACUCAGGUAACCCCUACUCUGCCUAAUAAGGACCCCACAGCACAAGAACAGUUGCAAAGGAGGCAUCAGGGCACAAAACAUGGAAGGACAGAUUACUUUUAGAGAAUGAGUUAUGAACAGAACUAACACAUGUUAUUUCUUGACUCAGCAUUCAGUUGUGGGUGUGAGACUUUGCAGAGCUCUUAUUCCUCUGCCAUGGCAGUUGACAACGUUUUAUACAAUCAUGAGUUUCUAUAACUGGCUCCUGAGAGGAAGAGAUUUGGAGCAAAGCCCCUAGCCUGUGCAUAUGGAUAUUUGGUGCAGCACUGAAAAUAACUUUAUGAUAGCGUGUCACUAAGAUUUUGGGAUUGUUUCUUCAAGAAUCAUAUCCUUGGUUAUUCUUAUUGAUGCAGGUGUUUUGAGGGUCACAAUUAGAUUAUGAAUUCCUACUCUGAAGUUAAAGGUUGACUGUAACUGGUUCAUAUAUCCCUAUUGGCUCUGGUGGGCAAAUCAGUUACCUUGUGCACAAAGAAUUCAAAGAUUUUUUAAAAACACUGUGCUGAGUCAGCGGCUUCCCUCUCUAGAUACUUCUGCCCCAACUGCUACUCCCAGAAACCAUUUUCUUGAGACACCUCAAGCCAGUGACGUGAAAAGGUACUUUUACAGUAACGUAAUUCCUCUAGACUGACUAAAGGAAAGAGAGUCAGAACUAAGUGUGCAUUACGCAGGGUGGAAACCUGCCUGGAGCUUGACUCUGCAGGGGAACACGGGCUCACAUCCUGAAUUAGGCCAGGAGAAGCAGCAAGAAGAUGAAACUGCGUUCAGACGUCAUAUUCAAACGCAGUGCCCUUCCCUUCCUGAUAUUUAAUGCCCAGUGCCAGUUAAACACACUCGUCCUGUUCUUUAUGCUCUCUAUUUCCUCUUUCCAGUUCCAAUGUACCCAGAAUGCACUUCUGGCCUCUGUAGGCACAAGACAUGUGGUGCAUGUACAUACAAAUGGACAAAUACUCACAAAUGUAAAAUGAAAAUAAAUCUUAAUAAAAAAAGAAGAUACCUGACGGAAUUUUUUUAGAGUGAAGACAAAAAUAAACAAAUCUAUGAAGCCCCAAGAAACGUGUAAUUCAUGAUAGAACAGUAACUUUUAAAAUGAGGAAUAAGAGGACACAAUGCACUACAAAAACAUUAAAUGACUCGAUUAACGUAUACCUUCCUAUAGUAAUACUGAAUAUUGGUGGUAUAACCAAUCUAAUAAGUCAUAGACUAGUACAAUGGAUAAAAAUAUCCAGGACCCAAGCUGGUGAGAUGUUCUCAGUGAAUAAAGAUACUUAUGCCUGGAGACGUGCAUUUAAUCUCCAAAAUUUCGGAUUCAAUUUUCAGAUCCCCAGAAAAGGUGGAAAGGGAGAACAAAUUUUACAAAAUUGUUCUGUGAGCUCCACAUGUACUCUCUGGCUCACGUACCCUUCCAUAUACAACACAAUCAAAAUAAUAAGUAAAAGUUUACUUUUUACAAACAUGUUUAAAAAACAAGAACUAUUUAUUUGUUGCUUCCAAGAAAUGUACCCAUAAAUCAAAGAUAGAUAUAACAUUAGAAGUAAAAGAUGAAAAAAUAUUCCAAAGAAAGAAUACCACCCCCCACUGGGACACUUUGAAAGCAGCACUGAGGGAAAUGUAUUGCUCUAAAUGCUUAUAUUAAGAAAUUGACAAGAAUUAUAGAGCAAUAGUCACAAAAACUGCAUGGUGUUGGUACAGAGAUAGGCAGAGGGAUCAAUGGAAUAGAAUUGAAGACCCAGAAAUGAACCCACACACCUAUGGUCACUUGAUCUUUGACAAAGGAGCUAAAAUCGCCCAAUGGAAGAAAGAUAGCAUUUUCAACAAAUGGUGGUGGUUCAACUGGAGGUCAACAUGUAGAAGAAUGCAGAUCGAUCCAUGCUUAUCACCCUGUACAAAGCUUAAGUCCAAGUAGAUCAAGGACCUCCACAUCAAACCAGACACACUCAAACUAAUAGAAGAAAAAGUGGGGAAGAGUGUCGAACACAUGGGCACUGGGGAAAAUUUCCUGAACAAAACACCAAUGGCUUAUGCUCUAAGAUUAAGAAUCGACAAAUUGGACCUCAUAAAACUGCAAAACUUCUGUAAGGCAAAAGACACUGUCAUAAGGACAAAACAGUAGCCAACAGAUUGGGAAAAGAUCUUUCCCAAUUCUACAUCUGAUAGAGGGCUAUUAUCCAAAAUGUAUAAAGAACUCAAGAAGUUAGAUUCCAGAGAGCCAAAUAAUCCUAUUAAAAAAUGGGGUAGAGAUCUAAACAAAAUAUUCUCAGCUGAAGAUUAUCGAAGGCCAAAAAGCACCUAAAAAAUGUUCAACAUCCUUAGUCAGGGAAAUGCAAAUCAAAACAACCCUGAGAUUCUACCUCACACCAGUCAGAAUGGCUAAGAUAAAAAACUCAGGUGACAACAGAUGCUGGCGAGGAUGCGGAGAAAGAGGAACACUCCUCCAUUGUUGGUGGGAUUACAAACUGGUACAACCAUUCUGGAAAUCAGUCUGGAGGUUCCUCAGAAAAUUGGACAUUCCACUACCUGAGGACCCAGCUAUACCUCUCUUAGGCAUAAACCCAAAAGAUGCUCCAACAUACAGAAAAGACACAUGCAGCAGCCUUAUUUAUAAUAGCCAGAAACAGGAAAGAACUCAGAUGCCCUUCAACAGAGGAAUGGAUUCAAGAAUUGUGGUACAACUACACAAUGCUAUCAAAAAUAAUGUCUUCAUGAAAUUCAUAGGCAAAUGGAAUGAAUUAAAAAAUAUCAUCCUGAGUGAGGUUACUCAAUCACAGAAAAACACACUUGGUAUGCAUUCACUGAUAAGUGGAUAUUAGCCAAAAAGCUCGAAUUACCCAAGCUGCAAUCCACAGACCACAGGAAGCUCAAGAAGAAGGAUGACCAAAAUGAGGAUGCUCCCACUCCUUCUUAAAAGGGAAAAAAUAUCCAUAGUAGGGGAUAUGGAAGCAAAGUUUAGAGCAGUGACUCAAGGAAUGGCCAUUCAGAGCCUGACACACAGGUGGUCUAUAUAUAUAAACAGCCACCAAAGCUAGAUAAGAUUGAUGAAGCUAAAAAAUGCAUGCUGAAAGGGACCAGAUAUAGAUCUCUCCUGAGAGACACAUUCAGAGCAUGUCCAAUACAGAGGUCAAUGCUAGCAGCAAACCACUGAAGUGAGAAUAGGUCAGACCCCCUUGCGGGGAAUUAGAGGAAGUAUUAAGAGAGUUGAAGGAGCUUGCAACCCCAUAUGUACAACAAUGCCAACCAACCAGAGCUUCCAGGGACUAAACCACUACCUAAAGACUGUACAUGGACUGACCCAGGGCUCCAACUGCAUAUGUAGCAGAGAAUUGCCUUAUUGGGGCACCAGUGGAAGAGGAAGCCCUUGGUCUUGCCAAGGUUGGACCCCCAGUGCAGGGGAAUAUGGGGGGGGCAAUAAGGGGGAUGUAUAGGGGAAUACCCAUAUGGGGGAGGGGAGGGAAUGGGGGCUUAUGGACAGGAAACCAGGAAGGGGAAUAACAUUUGAAAUCCAAGUAAAGGAAUAUAUCUAAUAAAAGAAAUUUUUUUUAAAAAAGCUGUAAAAACAGGGAAAAAAGAUUAUUCAUCAUGACUAAGUUGGCUUUAUCCCAAAAGUCAGAGAAUGUUCAACAUGUAUCAGUUAAUAAAUGUAAUAAAUCAUAUGACUUGAUGAUCAAACGAUCAUCUCAAUAGAUAAAGAAAAAUAUGCCAAUAGUGUUUUUGAAUGCUAUUUAAUAACUCUAUUAGUUGUUAACAUGACCCAGUCAGCUCCCCAAUAAUUGAGGCAGAGCACAAUUACUGGGCAGAUUACCCUUAAUCUGUUUUUUCUAUACACUAAACUGUUAACUCCCCAAUUGUACUCCCCAAGUACUUCCUGUCUGAGUCUUACCUGGCUAUUUCUGCUCCACCAGACCAACCUUAAGGGGCAUUUCAUUCAGCCAUGUGAUCCUGGUACAUCAUGUCUAAUGGAGACCUCCUGUUCUCUCUGUCUUCUUUCCCCUUCGCCUUCUUUCUCCUCCCAACUUUUUGCUCUGUCAUUCUCCUCUCUCCUUCUCCAGGUGGUCCCUACCUGUGCCCCCCCCCCCAGCCCAGAAAACGAAGCCCUGCUACUCUCCCCAGUAACUAGCCACAUUUAUUUAUCCAGUCAGAGAAUAAGGUGAGCAAAGUUUAUAUAGCAUCAUUUGGUAUAUGUGAGGAUCUGCUCUUUGGAGAGCAACCAGAUCUUGGAGGACAGUAUUUAACAUUUGAAUACAUAGCAGCACCAGACCAACCCCCAACAAAAAUCUUUGACAAAACCCAACAUGUUCUCAUGAUAAAAAAAAAAAAGUCCAAGAGAAAACAGAAUGGGAUGGAACACACCUCAACAUAAUAAAAGCUUUAUAUGACAAACCCACAGCUUUCACCCUAAAUAAAGCAGAACAAUUGCACUGAAAUCAGGGAUGAGAAAGGGCUGCCUGCCAGCGUCGCUCUUUGCAAUGUAGCACACAAUGCAGUAGCCUCGGCAAUAAGUCAACAGUCAGAAAUUACAGGGAUGCAAAUAAAUGAAGAAGCCAUACUCCUUAUUUGCAGGUGAUAUGGUGUUAUCCCUAAGAGAUCCCCCAAACUCCACUAGGAAACUUCUAGAAAUUAUUAAUAAUUUCAGAGUGUGGUAGGAUGCAAAUCAUCUUUUAAAAAUCAGCAGUUUCUCUAAAUUCCAAAAACAUAUGCUCAGAACAAUCACAUACCUACAUUCUCUCUAGUUCACAUUGGCCCGGUGGAAAAUAAACACCUAGCAAUACCCCUUACCGAUGAAGUUGAAGACCUCCACAAUGAACACUCAGACUCUGAGAAUGACACUGGAAAAUGAAAAGGCAUCUCAUCCUCACAGACUGCUAUAUUAAUAGUGUGAAGAUUGCCAUUCUGUCAAAAAUUCUAUUUAUAGGUUUAAUACGAUCUUAGUCAAAAUAUCAUCUCAUUCAUCACAGAUAUAAUAUAUUAUUCAUUUGGGAUACAAAAACCCUGGGUAGCAAAGCAAUCCUGAGCAAGAAUAAUAAUGUUGGAAGAAUUAUCAUUCCAAAUGAGAAGGUUACCUUACAAAGCACCAAUAAUAAAACCAGAAUAGUACUUUCAUAAAGCAGACUUGUAGAUCAAUGGAAUAAAAUAGAAGACCCUAAAAUGUGGAUGUAUAACUAAAAUCAUCUGAUAUUUGAUUCCCCUGCAAAAUCAAAAGAAAACAACAACAACAACAAAAAAAACAUACACUGGAGAAAGACAUCUCCAAUGAAUUGCUCUUUGAAAAAUUGAAUGCCUAUAUGUGGAAAAAUGAUGGUAGGCCCACAUAUAUCACCUUCCACAAAACCUAACUCCAGAUGAAUCAAAGGCCUAAACCUGAAACCUAAAAAUGCUGAGAACAAAACAUAAGCAGGACCCUACAAGGUAUGGGUGUAGAAAAGACUUUCCGAAUGGGAUUCUAUUUGCCCAGGACUUAAGACCAGCAAUUGAUAAGUGGGUCCUCAUAAAAAUAAAAAGUUUCUGCACAGCUAGGAAUCAAGCAAGCAAAAAGGAAGCUCACAUAAGGGGAGAGAAUCUUUCCUAGCUGUACAUCUGACAGAUAAUUAAUAUCCAGAAUAUAUUUUAAAACUCAGAAAAAAAGUCUAAAAAGUGACCCUGUUUUUAAAAAAAAAUGGGUCUGGGACCUGAACAGAGACUCUCAGAAAAAAUAAAAAUGACUAAAGAGUAUCUCAAAUAGUGUUCAUCACACUUAACAGUUAGGGAAAUGCAUUUGGACACACAGCAGCAUCAGACAAAACAACUUAGAGAGUUCAUCUCACCCUAGUUAGAAUGGCUAACAAAAUAACCAACAAAUGUUACAGAGGAUCUGGGCAAAGGGGAAGCCUCGCUCUUGUUGGUGGAAUUGCACACAUGUGCAGCCCUGUGACAUCUGGAAGUCACUGAUGAAAACUCUCAGGAUGCUAAAAAUGAAUCGACCAUAAGACCUGGCUUUCCCACUCUCCUACACAUGCAAGAAGGACUUCACAUCCUACUCCAUGGAUCCCUGAUCAGCCAUGCUCCCUGUUACUCUAUCCACAAUAGCUAGGGGAUGGAAAUCACCCAAAUGCCCUCCAGGGGAUAAAGCGUAAUAAACUGUGGCACAUAUAUUUAAUGGAAUACUAUUUGGCUGCAAAGAAAAAUGAAAUCAUGGAAACCAUUUGCUGGUAAUUGAAUGAAACUAGACAAUACUAUAUUGAGGAAGGUAACUCAAAACCUGGAAGAUGAUUGCUGCAUGUUCUUUCUCAUGUGUGAUUUAUAGAUUCAAAUCUCUAGAUCUUAAUCUAUAACCUGUAGGAGCCACAGGGACCAGAAACAUAACAAUGGACAAUGGAGGGAGGGGGAUUCUAGAAAGGCAAAUAACAGGAUAUAGGUGAUGCAAAGGAACAAAUGAGAAAAAAUGAGGGGGCAAUUUUAAUUAGAGAGGGUAAAAGGGGUCGAUACAGGAGAGGGAGAGAAGAUGGGAAAAUAACAGUAAGGAUGCCAGAAAUAGCCACUAUAUAUACAUAUACACAUAUACACAUAAUAUUUAAGUGAAUUUAUCUUACUUGAACCAACGAUGUUGCCCUCAAGAGACAUAGACUAUGUAUUUAAUGGCCAAAUAUUAAGCAACUCCAUUUCAAGUACUUGGUCAGUGGAGUCCAGGAGACUCCCAAAACCUUGGUUCCUUCCUCCCAGGGUUGAAGCUAAUUACCUGCUGAUGAAAACACCACAAUAUUGCACACAAAACUUGGUGGAUCUGAGCUGGAUCUGACCUAAACGCCUCUUCCCUGAGGACUAGCUCUCACAGUAUAGGAAGGCAUAUAAACAGUCAAGGAAGGGAAGCAGCCUAAGAACCACAACACAGUAAGAUAUCCCCAAAGAUGUGACAGAUGUACUAAGAUCAUGCAGUAAGUGAUAGCUGUCUAAUUAGAUGUAAGGCCAACUCAACAGGAGGGAAAUCACUCAUGAUACUGGACAACUAGCCAACUACCCAGGGAUAGUCUGACCUAAAGCAAAGAACACAGGAGAAGGAACAAAAAAGACACAAGUAGGCAAGGAAGACUUCAAAGUAGUUUAAUUGCAGAUCAUACGUUUCCACAUGUAAGAGAACCUAAAAAGAGUUGGAAAAACUCUCCUUCUUCUUCUUCUUCUUCUUCUUCUUCUUCUUCUUCUUCUUCUUCUUCUUCUUCUUCUUCUUCUUCUUCUUCUUCUUCUUCUUCUUCUUCUCCCUCUCCUCUCCCUCUACCCCUCCCCCUCCCAUCUCUCCCUCCCCCUCCUCCUCCUUCUUCUUCUUCUUCUUACAUGCUUCUGACACACAUGUCAGGCAGGAAGAGCCUCUCCCAUUCCUGGUUCCCAGGCUGUGGUCAAGACCCACCAGUUGUCAGUUUUGAGGUCUCUACAGCCUACCAGCUUUGAAUCAUGAUAGCCACUCCCACCCCCUAGCAACUUGUUUGUAGUGAUUACUACAAGGAUGGCCUCAUAUGUUUUUCCAUCAACAGAUCAUACAGAAAUGCUAAGUAACCCAGAGGAUAUCCUGCCCCAACCCCUGUGGCUCAUUAAGGCCAACCCUGGCUAGCAGUAUACCAGCUUCUGUUUUGGGAAAUUCACUCUCCCAUUCAUGGCCACAGUGAUGGAGUCCCUGAACAUUUGGCCGUAUCCCCCUGGGCAUCCUAUUACGGUUUCAAUAGGAAUGGCAUCCACAGACUCAUGUGGUUGAAUGCUUGGUCAUAGAAGUGGCAUUAUUAGAAAGUGUGCCCUUGUUGGAGGAAGUGUGUCACUGUGGAAGUGAGCUACGAGAUCUCAUAUGCACAAGCCAUGCCUAGUAUGGCAGUCCCCUUCUGUUGCCUGUAGAUCAAGAUGUAGAACUCUCAGGUCCUUGCCUAGCACUGUGGCUGCCUGCAUGCCACUAUGUUUCUUGCCAUGAGGAUAAUGGACUACCACUCUGAAACUGUGAAUCAGCUUCAGUUAAAUGCUUUUCUUUAUAAGUGUUGCCAUGAUCAUAGUGUCUUUUCAUAGCAAUAGAAAUCCUAACUAAGACCCCUACAUAUUAUGACCACUGGUGACCUUGCUUUGGCAACUAUUCAUGCAAUCUGACCAGGCCAGUGCAGUUCUUAUCCCUGAUAUGGCAGACCCAUGAACCAUCCCAAAUCUCUGUGGUACUAGGCAGGAGCCCUGCCUACUAGUCCCACCUGUCCCAUGCCAUCCACUCUGUAAAUAAGGGAGACUGUAGCAUGAUAGAUACUUGCAGGACUGGAAAUAGCCCCUUCUUUUCUCACAGAACUGAGCUUCUGUGAUCUGAUAACUGUGCCUUGCUCCAAGCAGAAAUAAAAUUCCCAACUAAUGUAAAAACAACAAUAACAACAAAACUCUUAGAUGUGGUAAACACUUCUGCAGAGUGGCAGGAUACGAUGUGGAGAGUCAAAGAUCACCAGCCUUCCUACACAAACAGCAACAAAUAUACUAGGAGAGAAAUCAUUCCCUCCUGUUUAUAAUAGUCUCAGAGAGAAGGGGAAGGGAAGAGGAAGAAAGGAAGGAAGGAAGGAAGGAAGGAAGGAAGGAAGGAAGGAAGGAAAGAAGG